UCUCUGGUCUGUAACUGACGCUGAGGAGCGAAAGCGUGGGGAGCGAACAGGAUUAGAUACCCUGGUAGUCCACGCCGUAAACGAUGAGUGCUAAGUGUUAGGGGGUUUCCGCCCCUUAGUGCUGCAGUAACGCAUUAAGCACUCCGCCUGGGGAGUACGGUCGCAAGACUGAAACUCAAAGGAAUUGACGGGGGCCCGCACAAGCGGUGGAGCAUGUGGUUUAAUUCGAAGCAACGCGAAGAACCUUACCAGGUUUGACAUCCUCUGACAACCCUAGAGAUAGGGCUUUCCCUUCGGGGACAGAGUGACAGGUGGUGCAUGGUUGUCGUCAGCUCGUGUCGUGAGAUGUUGGGUUAAGUCCCGCAACGAGCGCAACCCUUGUCUUAGUUGCCAGCAUUCAGUUGGGCACUCUAAGGUGACUGCCGGUGACAAACCGGAGGAAGGUGGGGAUGACGUCAAAUCAUCAUGCCCCUUAUGACCUGGGCUACACACGUGCUACAAUGGACAGACAAAGGGCUGCAAGACCGCAAGGUUUAGCCAAUCCCAUAAAUCUGUUCUCAGUUCGGAUCGCAGUCUGCAACUCGACUGCGUGAAGCUGGAAUCGCUAGUAAUCGCGGAUCAGCAUGCCGCGGUGAUACGUUCCCGGGCCUUGUACACACCGCCCGUC
rnacentral:rRNA from 1 species